CUCUGUUGACGACACGCUCGACACCGGAGGUCCAUGGAAGUGGCAACAGAGACAAUUGGAAGUGCACGUUUGUUUGAUCAAUCAAAAUUUCUAGUAUAUGUGGACAUCUAGUGGAUAAUGGAUGGCAUAUGAUGAUGUGACUUCAACAGAAGACGUGCAUUCUCAACGAGAUCAAAUGGGAAAUAAACAGUUGGUGUUAGUAACAGCUGUGCACACACGGCUUUUGCCACUAUUGCCUCUUGCAAUAUCGAGAUUUCGCAGAUAAAAUGAACGUUAGACUAUAGUUUGCCGUUUACUAGCUGUACAACAAAAAAUAAAUAUGGAAGUAUUCUUCAAUGAGAGCGGUAAUUUAUUUUCACAAUGGAAUGUGAAACUAAAUUAGAAGACGUAGGCGGGCACCGUUUAUCAGCGGGGCAACGACUCUCAUUUAGACGAAUACAAUUUGCGUCACUCAAGCAGUGCCAUUCAAGUCGUUACUUGCGUGCGGGAUUGAAUAGCAUACACAGUCUUUCAAUGGAUCACCAUCAAAGAUUUCGAGCUCAGUGCUUUAGUUGCUUUUACGGGCCAAGUCAUGAUAGACGCUACCAAGAUGUGCAGGCUGCUCACUGGGACUGCUCUCCAUACGAAAACGUCUACUUGUGUCGGCGUCACGCUCAAUAUCGCAUGUGGUACAAACACAGAACUUGCCCAAGAUGCGAAAAUUCCCACACGUUGCAUUGGGUCUAAGCUAUCGUAUCUUUGAUAUUUGAUAACUAUCUUGUAAACGUCGCUGCUGUGGCUGCUGUGGUGUUUUUCUGUAAAUGUUUGCUAGAUGGCUAGUAGGACGAUGCAAAUUGCCGCGCGUAUAAUCUGUCUUUGCAUUGUUAGAAAUGUACGCUUUACUUACUCUUGGACACAGCUGUCGCGUUCUAGAUCACGACGAGUAAUUGAAGAAUUAGUG